UACGUAGGGUGCGAGCGUUGUCCGGAUUUAUUGGGCGUAAAGGGCUCGUAGGCGGCGUGUCGCGUCGGGAGUGAAAGCCCGUUGCUUAACGGCGGGUUGGCUUUCGGUACGGGCAUGCUGGAGUGCGGCAGGGGAGACUGGAAUUCCUGGUGUAGCGGUGGAAUGCGCAGGAUAUCAGGAGGAACACCGGUGGCGAAGGCGGGUCUCUGGGCCGUUACUGACGCUGAGGAGCGAAAGCGUGGGGAGCGAACAGG
rnacentral:rRNA from 1 species